AACGAACGCUGGCGGCAUGCCUAACACAUGCAAGUCGAACGAAACCUUCGGGUUUGGUGGCGCACGGGUGCGUAACGCGGGGGAACCUGCCCUGAGGUCCGGUAUAACUCCCCGAAAGGGGUGCGAAUACCGGAGAAUGUCUUCGGACCAAAGAUUGAUCGCCUUUGGAUGGGCCCGCGUUGGAUUAGUUAGUUGGUAGGGUAAAAGCCUACCAAGGCGACGAUCCAUAGCUGGUCUGAGAGGAUGAUCAGCCACACUGGGACUGAGACACGGCCCAGACUCCUACGGGAGGCAGCAGUGGGUGAUAUUGGACAAUGGGCGAAAGCCUGAUCCACCAAUGCCGCGUGAGUGAUGAAGGCUUUAGGGUUGUAAAGCUCUUUUACCCGGUAUGAUAAUGACAGUACCGGCAGAAUAAGCACCGGCUAACUCCGUG
rnacentral:rRNA from 1 species